GUGAAUCAUCGAAUUUUUGAACGCAAAUUGCACUCUCUGAUAUUCCGGGGAGUAUGCCUGUUUGAGGGUCAGUUUAAAUCAAAAUCGGUGUGGUUGCUGCCUUGCGUGGUGACGUACUGGCUUUGGGUCGUCUUGCCUUCGGAUAAGUAGCCUAAAAUUUUGUAUGAUUUUUUAGAACGUAUUUAAAUGACUUUACGUACGUUUGCGGUAUCGAAUACUAGGUGUGGUCUUUCUCAU
rnacentral:misc_RNA from 1 species